GUACUACUCCCUCAGUUCGGAAUUACUUGUCGUAGAAAUGGAUGUAUUUAGACAUUCUUUAGUUUUAGAUACACCCAUUUUUACGACAAGUAAUUCCGAACGGAGGGAAUAUAUU
rfam:Triticum aestivum genome assembly, contig: Triticum_aestivum_CS42_TGACv1_scaffold_642436_T_1DS-0.173739_1BL-0.129920